UUGAUCCUGCCGGACCCGACUGCUAUCAGAAUAGGACUAAGCCAUGCGAGUCAACGUAGCAAUACGUGGCAUACGGCUCAGUAACACGUAGUCAACAUGCCCAGGGGACGUGGAUAACCUCGGGAAACUGAGGAUAAACCACGAUAGGUCAUAAUGUCUGGAAUGAUUUAUGGCUAAAAUCUACAUGGCCCCUGGAUUGGACUGCGGCCGAUCAGGCUGUUGGUGAGGUAAUGGCCCACCAAACCUAAAACCGGUACGGGCUCUGAGAGGAGAAGCCCGGAGAUGGGCACUGAGACAAGGGCCCAGGCCCUAUGGGGCGCAGCAGGCGCGAAAACUCUGCAAUAAGCGAAAGCUUGACAGGGUUAUUCUGAGUGAUUUCCGCUAAGGAAAUCUUUUGGCACCUCUAAAAAUGGUGCAGAAUAAGGGGUGGGCAAGCCUGGUGUCAGCCGCCGCGGUAAUACCAGCACCCCGAGUGGUCGGGACGAUUAUUGGGCCUAAAGCAUCCGUAGCCGGUUCUACAAGCCUUCCGUUAAAUCCAUCUGCUUAACAGAUGGGCUGCGGAGGAUACUAUAGAGCUAGGAGGCGGGAGAGGCAAGCGGUACUUAGUGGGUAGGGGUAAAAUCCGUUGAUCCAUUGAAGACCACCAGUGGCGAAGGCGGCUUGCCAGAACGCACUCGACGGUGAGGGAUGAAAGCUGGGGGAGCAAACCGGAUUAGAUACC
rnacentral:rRNA from 1 species